GUGACUAACGCUGGGAAUCGGUCUGUUCUACGUCUGCGAGCGGCGACUAGGGCCCUGUGGUGCCUCGCACCCCCCCUCCACCCCCCCUCGCUCCAACUCGAACCCGGCACCGGUCGGCCGCCGACGAGCCGAGCGCGAAGCCCAGUGUCAGCGCACGGCGCCGAGCGCUUCCUCCCUGACAGCGCCAUGUGUGAGGUCAUAAAUCUGAUCGCCACGGCAACAGACUACAGCGGCACAGGUUCGCAGGAAGCAUCCCGGAUCGGGGAGGAUUUACGAGCCGUCAUGUGCGAGUGCACCCUGUGGCCGGCGUUCAUCGAAUGACAGAGUGGCAUCUUUAUAAGUGGAAGGACAACUGCCAUGCACCUUAAAUCAAUCCACAAAACAGGGCAGCUGAAAUAAAAUUUAAAGGGCCUGUAUCCAAAUAAAUAAGCAGGCUGGAAUAAGAAGCAGAUACUGGGGGAAUUAGGCCCCUGGUAGUGAUUAUUGCCCUGGUGGAGGUUUUUCCGUGCUGGUGCCCUGGCCCAGAGUCGUUACGUCUGAAUCGUUAAAGGAGCCCGCAGAGGGUUGGGCAUGUAUUAUUUUCAACACUUCAGAUUAAACCCUGCUACAGCUCUCCGAGGCCCCGCUAAUUCAGACCCCCUGCUGGGCAACGGCGAAAUUAAAAAAUGAGAGGGGGGGGGGUCGGCGACAGUGAAAGCAGUGUUAAGAUGGAGGUGGAAAUUGCAAAUGCGACGCUAGGAUGCCGGUGACGUCUUUGGAUGGAAAGCAAAUGCAGACAAUAUGUGGACCCCGCUGCAGAGCGACAUCCUCGGCGCUUUAAAGAAGAGCUUGGAUCGCGUCCUGAAAUGUGACGAGCGCGUGGAGGAGUCAGCGAAAGGCCAGCGAGCGUCCUCUCCGCCGCAUUUGUUUUGAUCACAAACAGCUUGUUGGUGGAUGAUGGAGAGAAAACGACACCCCAUAAAAAUGAAGACUCACUCAAGCAACUCUGUGAAAACCUAAUAUUCCUUGUUGAAAUGGAUUGGUGAAGACUUUGGUUAUUAAUGAUCAUUUUAAAUUUUAAAGCAAGAGCUAAUGUAGCCUUGCUACUUUAUGAGAGUUUUGAACCCAAUGCAGCCCCUGUGGUCACUGUGAUCUGAAAACUAUUAAAAACUUUAUUCUGCUUCA